UUUCCCGUCCUCGCCAGUGCCAGGUACAAUCUCGUCAUCUUAGGAGACGAGUCUGUCGGCAAAAGCAGUAUCAUCACUCACUUUAUGAACAACAAGUUCCGUAACAAAUACGAGAUCUUUUGAGGAAUGUGAGGACUCAAGUAUUGCUCAAACUGAUCAAGCCUUACACAAGAAUUCGGAUCCCUUUCAUAUCCAAGGUCAAAGGGGAUGAAGAAAUACACUGCCGUGGAUAAGUGGAACACACAGCUUAGGUCCCUCUAUCAGACUGUUAGUAACCAAGUUUGUUAAUUUUUGAGAUUUUUUGAGAGUAUAUUCUAUCUGAAAAGUCACUCCUAGUCCUGGAAAACAAUAGAUUACAAGCAUUACAUUUACUUUUGCACCAAAGAUGUUCAUGGGUAGUGGAGAAGUGUCCAUUUACAGAGAUGUUGGCUCAAAUCUAGUUUAAAUGUUUUUGACAAAUUUGCUUACUAAACAAACUUAAAAAGUUAAAAGGUACUUCAUCAUUA